rnacentral:misc_RNA from 1 species
UAUGCACAUUUAUAACAUUUAUCUCAUUAUAACAAUGAAAAUGAAGUUAUAAAAUCACACUGUUCUAAGCUUAUCCUAUCUGAAUCUCCAAAUUCAAUGUACCAGGUUAUCAAUGGAAAUAAGCAUACGAGAAUAGCUUAUUCAACAAACUAAAAUACAUUCUUUUCACAUUAAUUUAUAUUUAAUUUACACAUCACAUUAA